AUGUGGAAGGCCAUGGCGAUGGGCGCGUACGUACCUCUUGACCAUGCCGAGGCCGCGGCUGCCGAGGACGAGCAGGUCGGCGCGCAUGUCCUCCACGGCCUGGCAGAUGGCCUCCUUGGGGUCGCCCUCCACCACCGCCGCCGUGGCGCUCGCCUGCUUCUGCCUGCAGACGUCCAGCGCGCGGGCCACCGCCUUCCGGGAGUUCUCCUCCUGCGCCCUCCUCAUGGAGUCCAACGCCGUGGGCGGGGCGUAGGCCAGGCCUGCUACGGCACGAUCGCGCCACGCACAAAAAGGUGUGUCAGGGAGGAGUUCACGCGGUUGGUGCGCGCGCGCGAGAUUGUGCACCGUACCGUGGGCGGCGACGGGGUAGGCGAAGUGGUCGACGCGGUGCUGGGCGUGGACGACGACGACGGACGCGCCGGGGUGGAGCCGGACGACGUGGUCGAGCGCCCACGACAGCGCCUGCAGGCUCUCCUCGCUCGCGUCCACCGCCACCACCACCUUCAUCGUCGCGCCCGCCGCCCGGGCGGCCUCCGCGCCUCCGGCUACAGGCGCCACGCCGCUCGCCGUCGCCGCGGCCUCGGUGCUCUCCUCCAUGAUGACGCGCUCGCGCUCGCUUGCGGUUAUGCCAAGACCGGCUUCGUGCCUGGCGAUCACUGCCUCGAUCGACCACAUCGCCUGCCGUGUUCGUGUAUAUAUGCGCGCGCGCGCGGUCGGCGCCGCACGCUAGCUUUUGGAUGUGGACGGCACGAGAUAGAUAGAUGGAUAUGGACGGGGAGCGAGGCGCUGUGGCUUUUGGUCCGUGCCUCCCGCCGUGCGUUCGUCAACCCCCGCUCGCGUCCGGUCCGGCGGUCGGGCGGUGUAUCUUGGCUUCGUCGGGCUGUUGAGCUUGGCGCGUCCCCUGCUAGCGGUCUGCCCCGGGAUUCGCGCAAGUGCCCAGAAGAAGCCUUGUCAGGCCACCGCAAACGUAAAGAUUUUUCUUUUAGUGCUAACUAA
rnacentral:rRNA from 1 species